rnacentral:rRNA from 1 species
CACGAACGCUGGCGGCAUGCCUAACACAUGCAAGUCGAACGAUUGCCUUCGGGUGAUAGUGGCGCACGGGUGCGUAACGCGUGGGAAUCUGCCCUUAGGUUCGGAAUAACAGCUGGAAACGGCUGCUAAUACAGGAUGUUAUCGCGAGAUCCAAGAUUUAUCGCAUGAGGAUGAGCCUGCGUUGGGUUAGGCAGUGGGUGGGGUAAAGGCCUACCAGGCCGACGAUCCAUAGCUGGUCUGAGAGGAUGAUCAGCCACACUGGGACUGAGACACGGCCCAGACUCCUACGGGAGGCAGCAGUGGGGAAUAUUGGACAAGGGGCGCAAGCCUGAUCCAGCAAUGCCGCGUGAGUGAUGAAGGCCCUAGGGUUGUAAAGCUCUUUUACCCGGGAAGAUAAUGACUGUACCGGGAGAAUAAGCCCCGGCUAACUCCGUG